GUCUACAGCCAUGCCACCCUGAACAAGCCCGAUCCCAUCUGAUCUUGGAAGCUAAGCAGGGUCUGGCCUGGUUAGUACUUUGAUGGGAGACCACCGAGGAAGACCAGGUGCUUGUAGGCG
rnacentral:rRNA from 1 species